CUGGGGGAAAUUUUUGGCUGAAGAGGCCAGGUGUCUAGGACACCUGGAGGAGAGGAUGAAUCUAGAAGGGGUCGGCUAGGUUUUAGCUGAGAAGGAGAUUGAGAGAGGGUAAGAAGAAAAAAGGCCGAGAGUGGUGUCGAAAGAGCAAAAACAGAGGAUAGGAAAAAACAGCAGGGGAGGCUUACGGCGGCUAAAUUUUUUUGGGCGGACAUAGAAAUACAGGGGAUGUCUGCGGAGGCUUUUGGGCGAAGAAAAAAAACAAAGAAAGAACGAGGGGAACGGAGAGAAGAAAAAGAACCGAGAAAGCUCUCGGCUAAGAAGGAGAGCUAAAAAAAGCAAAAAAGAAAAGAGAAACCAGAGAAAAAGAGGGGCGGCGGACAAGGAACUUCAUGGGAAGAAAAGGGGAGCUUCGUGAAGGCGAAAAAUGCAAGGCUGCAAUCUGGGGAGGAAGAAACCAGAAAACUAAUCGGAAAAAGAAAUGGGGGGCUUAAACUUGAAUCAUCCGAUGAAAGAAAAUUCUCCAACCACCACUGUAAAAUUCCCCCCUAUCUCAACCGGCUGCUACCACUCGCUCUCUACCAUCCUUCUUCGAAUUCCCCCAAUUUCCCAAGAUAAUUCCCGUUUCCAACGCAAGCCCUUCACGCUGUCUGCUCAAACCACCACUAGUCCGCAUCUCACUGCCAUUGCUGUCUGCCAUCACUACUUUCUACCGCCCCGCCGCCACCUUUCAACUUCCGCUGCCAUUGUUGCCAUCGCAACCGUCGGAAUAGCAGGGGUUCUCUCUGCCCCUUUACAAAACCGACUGCCCAUCCAACACUUCCACCGCUUGCCCAAGAACCGGAGCCUCCCCUUCGCUUGAACCCGCCGCUGCUGUCCAUGAAUUGUCGCCGUAAGAAACCGUUGUAAGGAAUUGUGGCUGAAAUUUGGAAUCUGGAGGAGGAAUUUCAGGCAGAAAAAUGGGGCGGAGGAAUUGCUGAUUGCCGUAGCGCUGGAACCCACCACCUUACCGUCAAUCCUUCACUGCCACCAGCAGAUUUUCACCCAGGAAAUGAGAUUCAUUCGAGCAGAAACUAGCUACAAUUUUGUGUGCCCGUUUGGUAUUCGAUGAAAUACCCGACUGAAUGUUAUGCCCGGAAAAUGACUGGUCUGCGUUUGUGCAUGUGAAGAAACAAAUGGACAGCAAUUUCAAUGCUUUUCAGAACAUAAUAGUUGAUUUCAAGGGUAGAAAGAAGAAUUUUGAUCCUGAUAUGUUAGCAUGCGACACUGUCUUUGUUUUCCGUUUCUGGUUCUGCCUUUUCCCUUUGUAUGGAUAUGAAUUAAUGGCCUGAAAUUUGUAUAAGAGGGAGCUUGCGAAUUGCACCUUGGAGAGUUGUCGGAAUAGAAUUUUCUGGUAUUCACGCGUAGACAAAGCAAGAUGAAAACAGCCGGAUGCUGGGACUUGUUUUGGAGAAGACGAUUGUUUGUACAAAUUCUGCGAUUUCAGUCCCCCCAUUUCCCAUUUCUUUGUAAUUUAACCCCAAAGAAGUCUCGGAACUUCAUAUUUGCCCCCCAAAGCUAUUGUAAUUCCUUCAAUUGGAUCCCUGUUUUGUUGCAUAUGAACCCCUCGAGUUCCCCCCUGUUCUGAUGUGACCCCAAAAAUUGGAAAAGCUGAACUAAUUUCAUUCUUUUGAGCUUAGUCCUCUGUUUGCAUAUUUUAUAUGGUUUUCUGGACAGAUUAAUUCUGGAAUUUAGACCAUAAUUGUGGUU